AUGGCCCGGGCCGGCAGCUCCAGCGGCGACGCGGCGGCGGGCGAGCGGGCCGGGGGCGCGGGGCGCUCCGAGCCGUGGGAGCUGUCCCUGGAGGAGGUGCUGAAGGCGUACGAGCAGCCCAUCAACGAGGAGCAGGCGUGGGCCGUGUGCUUCCAGUGCUGCCGCGGGCUGCGGGGCGCGCCGGGCGGCCGGCGGCGCAUCCGGGACACGGCGGACAUCCUCCUGCGCAGAGACGGCUCGGUCAGCGCGCGGCGGGAGUCCGGCGCCGCUGAGCCCACAACAAUGGUGUCACCGGCCAGCUCGGAAGCCCAGGUGGUGCAGUCGCUGGGCUUCGCUAUCUACCGCGCGCUGGACUGGGGGCUGGCUGAGCACGAGGAGCGCGAGCUCAGCCCGCAGCUGGAGCGGCUCAUCGACCUCAUGGCCAACAGCGACUGCGAUGACGACGGCGGUGGCGGGACGGCCGACGAAGGAUACGGGGGUCCCGAGGAAGAAGAGGAGGCAGAGGGCGGCCCUCGCACCGUGCGCACCUUCGCACAGGCUAUGCGCCUGUGUGCCGCGCGCCUGACCGAGCCCCGGGGCGCACAGACCCACUACCAGGCCGUGUGCCGCGCGCUCUUCGUGGAGACGCUGGAACUGCGCGCCUUCCUCGCCAGGGUCCGAGAAGCCAAGGAGAUGCUGCAGAGGCUCCGGGAGGAUGAACCGCAGGCAGAGAAGCCCCUUAUGGAGCUGGACAGCCUGAGGCGCACAGACUGGGCCCGACUCUGGGUCCAGCUCAUGCGGGAGCUUCGCCAUGGGGUGAAGCUGAAGAAGGUGCAGGAGCAGGAGUUCAACCCCCUGCCCACAGAGUUCCAGCUCACCCCCUUCGAGAUGCUCAUGCAGGACAUCCGUGCCAGGAACUACAAACUGCGCAAGGUCAUGGUUGACGGGGACAUCCCUCCCAGAGUGAAGAAAGAUGCCCAUGAACUCAUCCUGGACUUCAUCCGCUCCCGGCCUCCACUGAAGCAGGUCUCAGAGAGAAGGCUUCGCCCCUUACCUCAGAAGCAGAGAACUCUGCACGAGAAGAUCCUGGAGGAGAUCAAGCAGGAACGCAGGCUACGCCCUGUGGAGAGCAGGCGCUGGGACGGCCGGGGCGAGCGGGGGUUCGGCUCUCUGCCCUGCAUCCUCAACGCCUGCUCUGGGGACGUCAAGUCCACUUCCUGCAUCAACCUGUCCGUCACGGAUGUUGGGAGCAGCGCCCAGCGCCCGAGGCCCCGGGUCCUGCUCAAGGCCCCUACGUUGGCUGAGAUGGAAGAGAUGAACACUUCUGAGGAGGAAGAGUCACCAUGCGGAGAGGGGACGCUGAAGCGAGAUCGUUCUUUCUCUGAGCACGACCUGGCGCAGCUCCGGAGUGAGGUGGCCUCUGGUCUGCAGCCGGUCCCUCAGCCCCCCGGAGGCCUGGAGUUGUCCCGGCCGCGAGCGGGCAGCAUGCAGUCCUGGAGGCCGAGCCCCCUGGAGCCGGGUUCUCUCCCUGUCAGUGUCCAGUCCCAGCCUGACCCCAGCUCCCUACCACGCAGUGACGUGAGCUCAGUCGAGGACAGGCAGGGGGCCUCCGUGGCCCCGGACGCCAGUCACCUGUGGCUGGAGUUCAGCCACCCCGUGGAAAGCCUGGCUCUGACGGUGGAGGAGGUGAUGGACGUGCGCCGUGUGCUGGUGAAGGCAGAGAUGGAGAAGUUCCUGCAGAACAAGGAGCUCUUCAGCAGCCUGAAGAAGGGGAAGAUUUGCUGCUGCUGCCGAGCCAAGUUCCCGCUGUUGUCCUGGCCACCCUCCUGUCUCUUUUGCAAGAGAGCCGUCUGCAACUCCUGUAGCAUAAAGAUGAAGAUGCCUUCUAAGAAGUUUUCUCACAUCCCCGUCUACACACUGGGCUUUGAGAGUCCUCAGAGGAUGUCAACUGCCAAAACCACGCCAACACAGAGAAGAGACGCCUUCCAGUGCGUGCUGCCCUUGGUGAUGUUCCUGAUGGGCUGGGAGCUGGGUGGGGGUUUCUCUUCUGGGGAAGGAGGGCAGAGUGGUCAGAGCCCGGAGUCCCAGUUCUUCCUGAGGAAGGGCUUUUGUGGGGUGGACUUUGCUCUGCCUGGCGUGGGUGUGGGGGAUGCAGAGGCUCGGGCAGAACCCCCUGACAGCCCUGUCCUGCCCCAGAUCGCUGCAAGGGCUGCAGUGGCGGAACGUGGAGGAGGAGUUCCCGCACAUGUACACCCACGGCUGUGUCAUGAAGGACGUUUGCAGCGACUGCACCGGCUUCGUAGCGGAUGUGGUGCACUCCAGCCGCAGGAGUGUGGAUGCCCUCAACACCACGCCGCGUCGUGCCCGCCAGACCCAGUCCCUGUAUGUCCCGAACACCUGGACACUCGACCUCAAGUGAUGACCUGUAGCCCCUGGGCUGCCUGGCAGAUGCUUCUCAAGGUGCCCCCAGAUGGCCAUGCCUACAGGGAGGAGCUGGGCUAG
rnacentral:lncRNA from 1 species